UCACGUUAAACAGCUGUUCCCAUACGAUCAUCUAAGUUAAGCAACGUCUAUCCUGAUCAGUACUUAGAUGGGUGACCACUUCGGAAAAUCAGGUGUU